AAUGAACGUUGGCGGCAUGGAUUAGGCAUGCAAGUCGAGCGAGAAGUGUAGCAAUACACGGAAAUCGGCGGAAGGGAGAGUAAUACGUGGGAAUCUGCCCUUAGACCUGGGAUAGCAGCGGGAAACUGCUGGUAAUACCAGAUAAUGUCUAUGGACCAAAGGUGUGAUUCCGUCUAGGGAUGAGCCCACGUCCUAUUAGCUAGUUGGUAGGGUAAUGGCCUACCAAGGCGAUGAUGGGUAGCGGGUGUGAGAGCAUGACCCGCCUCACUGGGACUGAGACACUGCCCAGACACCUACGGGUGGCUGCAGUCGAGAAUCGUCGGAAAUGGGCGCAAGCCUGACCGAGCGAUGCCGCGUGCGGGAUGAAGGCCUUCGGGUUGUAAACCGCUGUCGAGGGGGAGCAACUUCCAUAGAGUUAUCUUUAUGGAUUGAGUGAUCCCUGGAGGAAGGGCGGGCUAAGUUCGUGCCAGCAGCCGCCGUAACAC
rnacentral:rRNA from 1 species